GACCGCUCUGUUGGCCUAGUGGUUAGAGCUUCUGCGUUGGAUGCGGGAAGUCUUGGGUUUGAUCCCCGGCCGAGUCA